rnacentral:ribozyme from 2 species
ACAUAGACUAAGGCCAAGAGACUCAUAUAACUGGGUUGACAAGCUAUGUGCUUACCCUAAAAGAAGAUUCACAUAACCUGUGCUUAGAAAUAGAUCUGGGCUUUGAGUCUGAGAACUCUGCCAACAACAGCUAA